CGAUCCGGCUGGAAGUCUAAUAAUGCAGUCGAGCGAACAGACAAGGAGCUUGCUCCUUUGACGUUAGCGGCGGACGGGUGAGUAACACGUGGGUAACCUACCUAUAAGACUGGGAUAACUUCGGGAAACCGGAGCUAAUACCGGAUAAUAUUUCGAACCGCAUGGUUCGAUAGUGAAAGAUGGUUUUGCUAUCACUUAUAGAUGGACCCGCGCCGUAUUAGCUAGUUGGUAAGGUAACGGCUUACCAAGGCGACGAUACGUAGCCGACCUGAGAGGGUGAUCGGCCACACUGGAACUGAGACACGGUCCAGACUCCUACGGGAGGCAGCAGUAGGGAAUCUUCCGCAAUGGGCGAAAGCCUGACGGAGCAACGCCGCGUGAGUGAUGAAGGUCUUCGGAUCGUAAAACUCUGUUAUUAGGGAAGAACAUACGUGUAAGUAACUAUGCACGUCUUGACGGUACCUAAUCAGAAAGCCACGGCUAACUACGUGCCAGCAGCCGCGGUAAUACGUAGGUGGCAAGCGUUAUCCGGAAUUAUUGGGCGUAAAGCGCGCGUAGGCGGUUUUUUAAGUCUGAUGUGAAAGCCCACGGCUCAACCGUGGAGGGUCAUUGGAAACUGUAAAACUUGAGUGCAGAAGAGGAAAGUGGAAUUCCAUGUGUAGCGGUGAAAUGCGCAGAGAUAUGGAGGAACACCAGUGGCGAAGGCGACUUUCUGGUCUGUAACUGACGCUGAUGUGCGAAAGCGUGGGGAUCAAACAGGAUUAGAUACCCUGGUAGUCCACGCCGUAAACGAUGAGUGCUAAGUGUUAGGGGGUUUCCGCCCCUUAGUGCUGCAGCUAACGCAUUAAGCACUCCGCCUGGGGAGUACGACCGCAAGGUGAAACUCAAAGGAAUGACGGGGACCCGCACAAGCGGUGGAGCAUGUGGUUUAUCGAGCACCGCGAAGACCUUACAAAUCUGACAUCUUUGACCACUUCUAAGAGAUAGAGCUCCCUUCGGGGAAAAAGGGACAGGUGUGGUGGCAUGCUGUCGUCAGCCGGUCUGGGAAUGUUGGCUUAGUUCCCGCACGGGCAACUAGCUAUGCCAUCUAAGUUGGACCAAGUAGCUGCGGUGCAACGGAGAGUGAUAAGCUAAUCUUUAGCUUAAGAGUUGGGUCACACCAGGUACCAU
rnacentral:rRNA from 1 species